AAUGAGGUCCAGUGACUCAUCUUCAUCUUCAUCCUCAUCCUCAUCAUCAUUUUAUAAAAGGAGAAAAUUAAAUAAAUGCUUAUGGGUGAAUGAUGACAAAGGAGUCUCCCAGUGAGGGCAAAUAGGAUAUAAUAAAAUGGAGGAAAGAAGGGAGAGACAGAGGAAAAAAAAAUAAAGGAAACAAAUUAAUGGUGGUCUAAGUUAUCUAGAAUCCUCAAAUAUUUUUCUUGGAGGGUUUUGGGGCCAAAUUGACUCGUGUGAAGUAGAUUAUUUUGUGUAUAUAUGU
rnacentral:misc_RNA from 1 species